rnacentral:misc_RNA from 1 species
GUAAUUUAGAAAUUUUUUUUAUCUAAAUAAAUUACUGGUGAAAUAAAACAUAAGGUAUCUGGUAAGCAUAUCAAUUUAUUGAUUCAGCACUUGCAAGUUGAUCCAGAAAUUUCAAGAACUAUAGUCUUGGCCGUAAAGGUUUGAAAGUGUACAGCAUAGUUAGGCUUGAACCUAACUUGCUUGUACAACCAAACAAGCCUACAGAUUCAAAUCACAAAUUUGAUUAGAACUUCAUCAGGAUUUUGACUUCAAAGGAUAGCUUCUAUCCUUCAAUUGUUUCCUCUGAUAUGUGUUUAUGGGCACAUGGAGAUUUUUCCACACCAGCACAGAGGAUAUUCCUGAAAAGGCAUAAAGAUACAUACAGAUGAUUGCUUUAGAAAUUCGCCAAUAACAUCUUAACUUAGUCUAAAGUGCAAAGCUGAUUUCUUCACUUUACAGAUUCUUUUGUUCAGAAACUUGUCAAAAGGUGAAGGUAUCAGAUUCAAUCUUAUCUUUCUGGAAUAAUACUGGACUAUAAAAACCGAGUUCUUGACAUCAAAAUAUAUAGUUGUUCCAUAGCCAGUCCAUUAUAAGCAAAGCAAAAGUGAGAGAAAAUGUCAUUUUCCCAGAAUCAUCAUCACCAUCAUCAAGCCAAACAUCACAACAAUUGGGAGGUAUCAUAUGAUAGCUUCCUGCAGGGUUCAUCAUUCAACAAUGGGUAUGAGUAUUUUCUUGAUCCACCAGCAAGGAAUAAUAAUCGUGUUACAGAAUAUGAUCAGAAAGCACCUGUUUGUGUUAGGAUUGGUGAUAAAGAGAUAUGUAAUGAAAGUGUUGAUGCCGUAACUGAGGAGUUCAUUAAGUUGGAGCAUAAGAAGUUUGGAUUUAACAAGUGGAUGAGUGCUGGCUGAGAAAUCACAACCACAAUCCAUCUAUGCACUAAAGCAUCCAUCCUGGAAAAUUUCUUCCCAGUCAUAAAUAAAUAACUCUAUGUGCCUACAAUAAGACUUUGUAUUUCCUUAAUUCUCUUGGUUUGAUCCUAUAUAUAUAUAUUAUUGGUUUCUAUAUGUAUAUGUAUUGAUUAUUGGUUUCUCAGUAUAUAGCCUUUGUGUUUCCUUUUUUCUUUUUUUUCAUUUUUCAUUUGGAGACUCAGUCCUUUUUUGUUAUGACCACAAUGAGAUGGCUAAUUGAACUAGAUUAAAGCUUUAUCUAGCUUAACAGUAGCAAACUUAAUUUAGUCCAGUGAUAAGUCAGAUGUCCUUGCUUUCUAAUUAUGUAAGGAACUGAACUUAAACGAAAGACUUGCAUGGCACAAACUAAACAAAUUAUGUUAAAAAUGGCUGAAUUUCUUGAUGCUUUAUUUGGAAAUGUUUUUGUCACUUGUACACACUGAAAUUUGAGGUAUGCAAAUGGAACAAAACACAAAAUCAAAGCAAGACAUUGUUAUGUAAUAUAAUCACCUCUCACUAGUUUUACUAAAAAAAAAAAAAUCCAUGCAACGCAACAAAAGUGAAGAAAAAUAUUCUUCCCCAAAAACCUAAACAAGCAUCCAUUUUAGGUCAAAAAUUUCCAUCAAUCUAGAGA